AUGCAGUUCGAACGAGAAAGUGGAGCAAUCCAUGUAGUAAAGUGGCGUACGGGCUGCCNUUUCACGAUGGUAUCAUCUGCCCUAGAGUGGGGAAUAACCAGGGNUAAACCUUGGCUAAUACCGCAUAAUCCCGAGAGGGGAAAGCCGAAAGGCGCUCAAGGAGGAGUCCGCGGUCGAUUAGCUAGUUGGUAGGGUAAAGGCCUACCAAGGCAACGAUCGAUAGCCGGCCUGAGAGGGCACACGGCCACACUGGCACUGAAACACGGGCCAGACUCCUACGGGAGGCAGCAGUGGGGAAUCUUGCACAAUGGAGGAAACUCUGAUGCAGCGACGCCGCGUGAGCGAUGAAGCCCUUCGGGGUGUAAAGCUCUUUCGUCAGGGAAGAUAGUGACGGUACCUGGAGAAGCAGCUGCGGCUAACUACGUGCCAGCAGCCGCGGUAAUACGUAGACAGCAAGCGUUGUUCGGAGUUACUGGGCGUAAAGGGUGUGUAGGCGGCCUUCUAAGUUUGGUGUGAAAUCUCCCGGCUCAACCGGGAGGGUGCGCCGAAGACUGGGGGGCUAGAGUAUGGGAUGGGAAAGUGGAAUUCCUGGUGUGGCGGUGAAAUGCGUAGAUAUCAGGAGGAACACCUGCGGUGUAGACGGCUUUUCUGGACCAUAACUGACGCUGAGACACGAAAGCGUGGGUAGCAAACAAGGAUUAGAUACCCUGGUAAGUCCCACGCCCUAAACCGAUGCAUAUUUUGGUGUGGGCCAUUCAUU
rnacentral:rRNA from 1 species